GAAAAUCAACUUCGCGGUCAAAUUGGGGAAUGAAGACGAUUUUGCAUCUGCUUGAUAGAACGAGAGCUCAAAAGACCUUAGCCAAUGGCAGAGAGAUUCAAUAUCCAUCUCGUCGCUGGUCAUUUGAACGUCGUCCCCCUCCCCUUGAACAGGGUGUUGUGAUCCCUUGAUGCCAAGUGAUUGUCUCUUGGGUGGAUAACAGUGGACAGAACCACACUGUGAUCCAUGUCGUCUCACUCACAUCUCGUAAAUGAACCCCAUGAGUGUUGGUGUGCAUCUGGGGCUGGGAGGGGGAAAAGCAAGAAGUGCCCUAACAAAUUUACAGCUGGACAAUGGAUUUGAAACGAUCAUGACAAGUAGACAACCCGCCCGUACGAUUCCUGUUAGACAAAUCAAGUGCCCUGGCAAGCCUCAGUUUGAGGAGCUAAUUCCAUGCUAGGGAUUGUUUGUGUUGGCAUUAAAGCGAAACUUUGUUCUUCUAAACAUCCAAAGGGUGAUUGAAAGUAACCCUAAUUUCUCGGGGUCAGUAAGUUUGCCGUUCCUUUCUACGCUCCUUGGAGACCACAUGUUACUACCACUCUUGGUGAUGGAGGAAUGCCGGAGAAGAAGUAUGACACCCCUUCUUCAUCUCAUCUACGUACUGAUGGAGGGAGUCAUUCACCCACUCUGCAUACAGUAUUGAAUGUCUGUCCAUUUACUCUGUGGAGGAGUGGAGGCGGAGUGGAGUAGUCACUUUUACUCUGCUCAGAUCAGGAGAUACGGUUUCAAAUACGCACUCCUCCUGAGCCUUGGGGUCUCGCUUGAGUCGCUUCGAUUGUCGACAUCAUGAAUCAAACUUCUUGAACUUCUUCAUCUCGGCAGUAGCAGCGUACUCGUAAGUGUUGACUUGUGGUGUAAACUUUGGAGCUCCCCAAAAUGAUUCGACGAUAGCGCUCAAUUCAGGAUCUUCAAAAAGAGUUUCCCAAGCGCCAUGAGUGUCCUGGGCAAUCUUUAUGAUUUGUUUACCAUUCUAUGUUAAAGGCAGCAUGAUGGGGCUUGCCCUUAAAAUCCUGAUGAUACGUCGUCUUUUCUGCUUUCUUGUCAUAACACAAGGCAAGCUAUUUCUGACUCAUUUUCAAGUACGUCUUGUGUGGCAAAGUAAAUAUCGCGUUUUCGCCAUCUUCGCCGGUUCCAUAUUGCAGCAGGGAGGUGGAUUUGGGCUUUGGACAACCUGCCUGCCCCGUCAAUGUGAACGGAAGUGGUGGCCACAAGUGUUCAAGUUCUCAAAUUAAGAUAACAAUUUGCUAUUGGACGCUUCAUGAUGCGGACCAUCUUGCUUUUACCAGCAGGGACGACCGAUUGAAGUGAGAGUUUGUUUCCGAGUGAGUCAUUAGGCUGGAUCGACGGAUGCUAGUUCCCUCCCUCUGCUGUAACAGGAGAAAAGAACAGAAAAGGGGAAGGAAGGAUUGGCAUCCAGACUUGAUUAGACUUAAUCAAAUUUAUCGUCUCGGUGGAGAACAUGGGCAACGUUAUCUUGGCUAAUCUUCGACCAUUUAUUGACUUCGUGUGACAUCAUAUGGCUCAAGGAGAUAAAAUGGAAAGAAAAUCUGGCAAUGCGAAAACGUGGGGAUGGGAAAGGACUGUGAGUACGUUUGCUCCAAAAGUGAGCCCAGUGGGUCCUGGGAACAUUGAGUGUUCUCUUCUUUGGGGCUCACACUGCUUCCCAGAGUUUUCCCAAUCUGGCGCCAUUUUGUCGCGGAAAUCACAGAUCUAUGGGAUUGGCGAAGAUACUCGUGCAAGCCUGCAAUGCCUCAGACCAGUCAUGUCCCAUCAUCUCAGAAGGUCAAAGCCCACGAGUGUGUCUUUGAACCCGUCAAACAAGAUCGUAUUCAUUCUGAAUUCAGUCUGGUGCCCAGGGCAUCCCAUUUGGACAAUCCACAUCCCCGUUGAAUUGCUCAUCUGAAUUGUGGAACGUAUCUGUGGCUCAUUGCCAAUCAAGGACUACUGCUGAGAACUGAAUAAGAAGACAUUCUAUUACCUCGGCUUAAAUUACCACUCCAUCUUCAGCCUUCAGACGGGACCAGACCCGCAAAACGACAACUACUUAGAUGAGCUUCUCUUUCUUUUUCUUCGUCUUUGAAUUGCCCUCUCCGUCUUGCUUUAACUCGAAACAACCGAUCGAGAAUGUGCUGUUUUGUCCAACGUUGAACAAUGAUGAGAAUGAUGAUGAGAGUGACGAUGGGUGAAUGUUAACCCACGCUCCAAAACUGAGA